AAAUCUCAGCCACUUAAACUCCAAAAUAACUGCUAUGAUUGCAGUUCAUGGCAGUUUCCUUACCUGGUAGUUACCUCCACCAUUUUCUAGCCCAUGUCUCCAAAACUCAACCUCCUACAAACCUGGGUAGUGCUCUAAAGUCAGUUGAGGAGGUAUUAUUAUAUAAUGUACCUUAGAAGCAAUAGUUCAUAUCUUCAAAUCUAAUGUUAUUCAAGGGUUCGGCUUUUGGAAGGGGAAAAAUAGGAGAAUCAAAUACACUCUGUUUGGGAAGGAACAAAUCCGAUGUAUCUUCAGGUAUCGCUUGGGAAUAUGCAUCAAUUUAGCCAAGCAGAACAGAGCAAACACUAUGGCAGAUAGCAAUGACAUUGAGGACCAGAUGGAUCAGAGGUUGGCAACUAUGAGGAGAUGGAUGAAUGAUGAUGAUGUUGAAGAGUAGUUAAGAGGAAAAAGCUGAUGAUGAUCGUGGUAAAGAAAAGCAUGUUGGGCUGCUUACUUUGCCACCACAUGGUUCUGAGAUUUUCAUUGGGGGGCUUUCUAAGGAUGUGGUUGAGGAAGAUUUGAGUGAAGUUUGUGAACCUUUUGGGGAUGUUGUUUAGGUCAGCUCUAACGGUAAGUUUGGUGAGAUAUAUGGAGACCAAUGAAGGUAAGGGUUUUGCAUUUGUGGCAUUUAGAAGUAAAGAUGAUGUUCAAAAGGCCAUUGAAGAACUACAUAACAAAGAUUUUAAGGUGUUCACUGUGUUCACUCUUUGAAUACAUAUACAGACAAUUCAUAGGUAAUGUGCCAAAGACUUGGACUGAUGAUGAGUUCAGAAAAGUAAUUGAGGAAAUAGGCCUAGGUUCAGAAGUGUCAUUGAGAGCUUCUAUAAAGGUGUGGAUCAUACAUAGCCAAUCAAGGGAAAAAGAGGCUUUGUAAGAAAAAAUGUUGUUGCUUGAGGCCUUACAUAAUUAUGCAUUUUCAUCCGCAUACAGUCCCCCUAUUACACGAUCCCUAGCCCAGUAAGUACAUAGACCCUUUCUUUGCUUUUGAGUUUUGACUACACUUGAAGCAAGUGUAAGUUUAUUUAUAAUGUAGCUUUAAAGUUACAUGAACUUUUUAUAAUUCACACAUCCUACUUUUCUAAAUUUUGGUUCUUUUAAUACUAAGGAUCUUAGCAACAACAUUUACAAUGAACUUCCAUACAGGCUGCCUUUAAAUCUAACACACUUGUAAGUUUCACUCUAGAUAAAUUUACUAGGUGUGUCAAUCGUGUAGGGUUAGCGGGUUGUGGCUUGGCGAGUUGCAGGUUGACGGGUUGAUGGGUAGAUUGUGGAACACGAACUAUAUCUUUAUUCAUGUCAAAAUCCGGAUACACAUAAUCUGGGUCAAAUCGAACACAACCCAUUUUUACCAAUUUGCUAAAUAAUUAUUUGGAAUUUGAGAAUCAUACAUAAAUCCUAAGAUUUGGAUUCCGAUUGAUAUAGACCAAUACUGUCUCUUCCUUGCAUAACUUUAUAUAGUAUGAUAGUCGGGUCAGAUAAUGCGUAAAAACAAGUCAUGUUUCAUUAUGCUAUUACCCAUUGUAGAUAACAUAACCCAAUUUAUUUCUCUAAUCUUCGUAACCUAUUAGUGGUCAUUGUCACAUUUCUUGUAGGUCGUUUUAUGUUGGUGCUGCUGGUGGAAGAGUAUCAUAGUAAUGCGGACGAGAAGUUUGCAGAGGUAGUAUGCAUUAUAUCAUUUUGUGCUUCAUGUUUGUUUAUACUACUAAACAGGAGCAAUUGUAAUUUGAUUUUCAUUUAUAGUUUUUUAAUUGGGUAUUUGUUAAAUUAGCCCUUUUUGUUCCACGCAACUGGUUUGAAGUUUUUUCUUCUGCUUGAGCUUAUAACAAGCACAAGCCUAAGUUUUUUGUUAUUUUGAUUUGCUCUGGAGCUGUAAUUUAGUAAGUUUAACCAUUUGGCCCCUUCCCUACGCAACAUCUGAUCCUCUAAGACAAUUGCGCCAUCACGGCACUGCUUGUAUCAGUCAAUAUAUGGUCACGUAAAGACUAGCUUAAUGCCAUCCAAUUGAUUGAAAUUACCUCAAACCUUGCUUUUUCGGAUUUUUAGGCAUAUUAUACGUGUAAAUAUUACAUUUUGAUGAAACA